rnacentral:lncRNA from 1 species
GGGAGAGCUUCGGCUCUGGAACGCUCGGUCGUUCAAAGUGGUGGAGUACUAGUUACUCAAAGUGGUGUUAGUGGUGAGGACUUAUGUCCUGAUGAGAAUGCUUUAACCAUUCGACAGCGGUGUGGGUCACGGCCCUGAUUUUUGGUACCACAUGCAUGGGUGUUUAGAGGAGUCUUAGUGGAGUGGUGAUGGGUUGCAUAUGUUGUUGAGAGGGUUAUAAAUUAAUAUUGUUGAUGAUACGUGAAAAUGAUGAUAUUUAUAUAAUAUUGUUGAUGAAUUAUCUGAUAGGGUGUUAGAUUCAAUUGAUGCAUUCUUUACCUAUAUUUUGUUGUGAAUCUCACCCCUUCUGCUUGAAAAUGUUGACCUUCCUAUGGGUAACUUGCAGGUGAUCCUGAGUAGUUGGUGGUGGCUCAAAGUGUCUAGGACUCUGAUACGUGGGAUGGGAUUUAUAGUUUAAUUUCUACCUAUGUAUCAAUUUUUGGAACAAGUUAAUGUAGCCUUUGUUUAUUGUUGAACUAUUAUGUUGAGGCCUAGUGCCAAGAUUUAUUGUUGGAUAAUGGAGUUUAAUUUUGAAGAAUAUUCCGCUGCAAUUUAAUGAAGUUUUAUGAAAGAUGUUGUUAAAUAGUUUUAUUCUAUUUAAGAAAUUUUGUAUAGUGGUGUGACAUGCCGUUUGGUGUUGAACUCUGAUUUUAUAAUUAUAAUUAAAUUGAUUUUGGGAAACGGGGUGUUACAAUUGGUAUCAGAGCAGGUUGGUCCGUCCGGCCAAGUAGUAGAGUCGUGUUGAGCCACCUAGGAUAGAGUGUCAACUCUAAUAUUGUUGUGUUGUUGUUGUUGUUGUUUUGAAUUGUUGUUCAUUAUGUAGAAUCUUAAGAUGGCUGGUAGGAACGAUGCUGCUAUUGCUGCUGCACUUGAGGCCGUAGCUCAAGCUGUUCAACAACAACCGCAAGCUGGUAACGGAGAAGUGAGGAUGCUGGAGACCUUUUUGAGGAAUCAUCCCCCAGCAUUCAAAGGAAGGUAUGAUCCAGAUGGCGCCCAGUCAUGGUUGAAGGAAGUGGAGAGGAUUUUCAGAGUCAUGCAGUGCUCUGAAGUGCAAAAGGUGCGGUUCGGGACGCACAUGUUGGCUGAGGAGGCAGAUGACUGGUGGGUAAGUUUGCUACCAGUGUUGGAACAGAAUGGAGCUGUAGUGACCUGGGCAGUGUUCAGGAGGGAAUUUCUGAACAGGUACUUUCCGGAAGAUGUCCGAGGUAGGAAGGAGAUCGAAUUUCUGGAGUUGAAGCAGGGUGAUAUGUCUGUUGUUGAGUAUGCUGCAAAAUUUGUGGAGCUUGCAAAGUUCUACCCCAUUAUGCUCCGGAGACAGCUGAAUUCUCCAAAUGCAUAAAGUUUGAAAAUGGCUUGAGAGCUGACAUCAAGAGGGCUAUAGGAUACCAACAGAUUAGAAUUUUCUCUGAUUUGGUAAGUCGCUGUAGGAUCUACGAGGAGGACACCAAAGCUCAUUAUAAGGUGAUGAGUGAGCGAAGAGGUAAAGGGCAUCAGAGUCGUCCUAAACCGUAUAGUGCCCCUGCUGACAAGGGUAAGCAGAGACUUAAUGAUGAGAGGAGGCCGAGUAAGAGGGAUGCUCCUGCUGAGAUAGUGUGUUUUAAGUGUGGCGAGAAAGGUCACAAGAGUAACGUUUGUACCGAGGAUGAGAAGAAGUGCUUCAGGUGUGGACAGAAGGGUCACAUGCUAGCCGAUUGCAAGCGCGGUGAUGUUGUAUGCUAUAAUUGUAAUGAAGAGGGUCACAUCAGUACUCAGUGCACACAGCCGAAGAAGGUUAGAGUUGGUGGAAAAGUUUUUGCUUUGACUGGUACCUAGACUGCUAAUGAGGACCGUCUCAUCAAAGGUACUUGUUUCUUUAAUAGUACUCCUUUAAUUGCUAUUAUAGACACUGGUGCUACUCAUUGUUUCAUUGCUUUAGAAAGUGCAUAUAGGUUGGGUUUGUUUGUGUCUAACAUGAAAGGAGAAAUGGUUGUUGAAACUCCAGCUAAGGGUUCAGUGACUACUUCUCUUGUUUGCUUGAGGUGUCCAAUUUCUAUGUUUGGUAGAGAUUUUGAAGUAGACUUAGUUUGUUUGCCGUUGACGGGAAUGGAUGUUAUUUUUGGGAUGAAUUGGUUAGAGUAUAACUGAGUUCAUAUCAACUGUUUUAGUAAGACGGUACAUUUUUCUUCCGCCGAAGAAGAGAGUGAAGUUGAGUUUUUGAAUACGAAGCAAAUGAAGCAGUUGGAACGUGAUGGAAUUCUGAUGUAUUCUCUAAUGGCAUAUCUGUCGUCAGAAAACCAAGCUGUGUUUGACAAACUAGCAGUGGUGAAUGAGUUUCCGGAGGUGUUCCCUGAUGAGAUUCCCGAUGUGCCACCAGAGAGGGAGGUGGAGUUUUCAAUUGACCUUGUUCCCGGAACAAAGCCGGUGUCGAUGGCACCGUACCGUAUGUCAGCUUCUGAGUUAGCUGAAUUGAAGAAACAGUUGGAAGAUUUGCUUGAUAAGAAGUUUGUUAGACCCAGUGUUUCACCGUGGGGAGCGCCUAUGUUGUUGGUGAAGAAAAAGGAUGGUAGUAUGAGGUUGUGCAUUGACUAUCGUCAAUUGAACAAAGUUACAAUUAAGAAUAGAUAUCCGCUUCCGAGGAUUGAUGACUUGAUGGACCAGCUAGUGGGUGCAAAGGUGUUCAGUAAGAUUGACUUGAGGUCAGGUUACCAUCAAAUUAAGGUGAAAGAUGAGGAUAUGCAGAAGACGGCCUUUAGGACACGAUACGGUCAUUACGAAUACAAAGUGAUGCCUUUCGGUGUUACUAACGCGCCCGGUGUGUUCAUGGAGUAUAUGAAUCGAAUUUUUCAUGCCUUUCUGGAUAAAUUUGUGGUGGUAUUUAUUGAUGAUAUUCUGAUUUAUUCAAAGACUGAAGAAGAGCAUGCAGAACACCUGAGAAUUGUGUUGCAAGUGUUGAAAGAAAAGAAGUUGUAUGCCAAAUUGUCGAAAUGUAAGUUUUGGCUAAGUGAAGUGAGUUUCCUUGGUCAUAUUAUUUCUGGUGAUGGUAUAGCGGUUGAUCCAUCAAAAGUUGAUGAAGUAUCACAAUGGGAGACUCCGAAGUCGGUGACUGAAAUCAGAAGCUUCUUGGGUUUGGCUGGUUAUUACCGCAGAUUUAUAGAAGGAUUUUCAAAGUUAGCAUUGCCGUUGACUCAGUUAACCUGUAAGGGUAAGUCCUUUGUGUGGGAUGCUCAGUGUGAGAGUAGUUUCAAUGAAUUAAAGAAAAGAUUGACAACUGCUCCUAUUUUGAUCUUACCUAAGCCGGAAGAGCCAUUCGUUGUUUACUGUGAUGCGUCUAAGCUGGGUUUAGGAGGUGUUUUAAUGCAAGAUGGCAAGGUGGUAGCGUAUGCUUCUAGGCAACUGAGGGUACAUGAAAAGAAUUAUCCCACUCACGAUUUGGAGUUAGCUGCAGUGGUUUUUGUUUUGAAAAUUUGGAGGCACUACUUGUAUGGUUCCAGAUUUGAAGUGUUCAGUGACCACAAGAGCUUGAAAUAUUUGUUUGAUCAGACGGAAUUGAAUAUGAGGCAGAGGAGAUGGCUUGAGCUGUUAAAAUAUUAUGAUUUUGGGUUGAAUUACCAUCCGGGAAAAGCUAAUGUAGUCGCUGAUGCAUUGAGUAGGAAGACACUGCAUAUGUCUGCUAUGAUGAUAAAAGAAUUCGAUUUGCUGGAACAGUUUAGAGACAUGAGUUUGGUAUGUGAGUUGUCGCCUCAAAGCGUACAGUUGGGGAUGCUAAAGAUUAACAGUGAUUUUCUGAGUAGUAUCCGAGAAGCACAGCAGGUGGAUGUCAAGUUUGUUGAUCUGAUGGUUGCUGGUAAUGGCAUUGAAGAUAGUGACUUCAAGGUUGAUGAUCAGGGUGUGUUGAGAUUCAGAGGUAGAAUUUGUAUUCCUGAUAAUGAAGAAAUGAAAAAGUUAAUCCUAGAGGAAAGUCACAAGAGUAGCUUGAGCAUUCAUCCGGGAGCUACGAAGAUGUAUCAUGAUUUGAAAAAGCUGUUUUGGUGGUCUGGGUUGAAGCGAGAUGUCGCUCAUUUUGUGUAUGCAUGUUUAACUUGCCAGAAGUCUAAGGUUGACCAUCAGAAACCUGCAGGAUUGUUGACACCGUUGGAUGUACCAGAGUGGAAAUGGGAUAGCAUUUCUAUGGAUUUUGUGACAAGUUUACCAAACACUCCGAGGGGACAUGAUUCGAUUUGGGUUGUGGUUGAUAGGUUGACGAAGUCGGCACAUUUUAUUCCUAUCAACAUCAGUUAUCCAGUAGCUCAGUUGGCUGAGAUUUAUAUACAUAGUGUUGUGAAGCUACAUGGAGUUCCUUCGAGUAUUGUGUCGGAUAGGGAUCCGAGGUUCACUUCUAGGUUCUGGAAGAGUUUACAGGACGCUCUGGGUUCGAAAUUGAGACUAAUUCGGCUUAUCAUCCUCAGACAGAUGGUCAGUCGGAGAGGACGAUCCAAUCAUUGGAAGACUUGUUGAGAGUGUGUGUGCUUGAACAGGGUGGAGCUUGGGAUAGUCACCUACCAUUGAUAGAGUUCACCUACAACAACAGUUACCAUUCGAGUAUAGGAAUGGCACCAUUCGAAGCUUUGUAUGGUCGAAGGUGCAGGACUCCGUUGUGUUGGUUUGAGUCAGGAGAGAGUGUUGUGUUGGGACCGGAUUUGGUUCAGGAGACUACAGAAAAAGUCAAGAUGAUCAGAGAGAAGAUGAAAGCGUCGCAGAGUCGACAGAAGAGUUACCAUGACAAGCGGAGAAAGGCCCUUGAGUUUCAAGAGGGUGAUCAUGUAUUUCUAAGAGUUACUCCGAUGACGGGUGUAGGACGUGCUUUGAAAUCGAGGAAGUUGACUCCGAAGUUCAUUGGUCCGUAUCAGAUUUCAGAGAGGAUCGGGACGGUGGCAUAUAGAGUUGGCUUGCCACCACAUCUAUCGAACUUGCAUGAUGUAUUUCACGUGUCACAACUCCGGAAGUAUGUAGCAGAUCCUUCGCAUGUUAUUCCGAGAGAUGAUGUGCAGGUUAGGGACAAUCUCACAGUUGAGACUUUGCCGGUGAGGAUCGAUGAUCGGAAAGUGAAGGCAUUGAGGGGCAAGGAAAUACCCUUGGUGAGAGUCGUUUGGGGCGGAGCGACUGGUGAAAGUUUGACUUGGGAGCUGGAGAGUAAGAUGAGGGAUUCAUAUCCUGAGUUGUUUGUUUGAGGUAAGAUUUCGAGGACGAAAUUCAGUAAUUUGGGGAGAGUUGUAACGCUCUAACCAUUAUUUAAUUAUUUUUGAUUAUGUGGUGUCAUUAUAUGUUUUUUUUGGUGAUUUAUGUGGUGUACAUAUAUUUAUUAUAUGAUUUAUUUUAUUAAAUAAUUAGCAUAAGUGGAGAAUAUAAUUAAUUAGAGUUUGGGGGGUUAUGUUAUAAUUAAUAUAGUUAGUGGGGAGUUAUUUACUAAUUAGGGGAGUUACAAGUUGGGAGUUAAGAAAGGAAAAACCAGAGAAACGUUUUACGUGAAAACAGACAAGUUUGGGAGAAAGCCAAGAGCAAGGGAGAGGAACCUAGGAACCGAUUUCUGCUGUGUUAUUUCUGCAAUUCUAAGGUAAGGGUGAGGUUUACCGCAAUCUUAUAGGUUCUGAAUUCUGAUUUUGUUCUAACAGGUUUAUGUGAGAAUUGGGGGAAGUUAGGUUUUUGUUGAUUAAUGGGUUCUGAGUGUAGGAAUCGUUGAAUUGGGGUUAGAAAUGGGUUCUGAGUGCAUAAAACCUUUCAUUGCAUAUCUGUAAACUAAUUUGGGGAGUGAAUUGAGGAAAAAUGGGAUUUUUGGGAAAAACCUGCAUUCUGCCCGUACAGAAGUUCAUCGCUCGCCUCGCGAGUAGCCUAUGCUCGCCUUAGCGAGUGAACAACUUCAUCGCUCGCCUCGCGAGUGAUACAACUCGCCGUGGCGAGUAGCCUUGUGAAAAUCUGGAUUUUUAAAAUGUUGUUAUAAGCCGUAAUUUGGGUAGUACUAUGUACCUAGAUGAUUAUAAGGAUGACUGGAGCAAGUUUUAGGUUAAAAAGUUAACUAGGGAGCUUAGAAUGGUUGAUUUAGUGAGAAAAAUAUCAUUUUUCCCGAGAGCACCAUAUUUCUGUUCGCCUCGAGUUCGCCUCGAACUCGCCAUGGCGAGUACCUGAUUUCCUGAGCUCGCCAUAGCGAGCAGAUGUGCUCGCGAGGCGAGCUGCCCAGUAUUUUGUUGGUUUGAUUUCUGUUGUUGUUUGGAUGAUUUAUAUUGUUGAAUUAAGCAUGGCUUGUAUGUUGAUAUAUAUUUCCCUGGAUGUCCUGGUUGGUUGUGAUGAAUAGAUGCUGACUGAAUGUAUGUUGUAUUUAAUUAAAAUUCACUUAAAUGUUGUAAAUUGGAUGGUGAAUCAUAUAUAAGUAUAUGUUAGAUUGGUUGGUAUGUAGAUAUACUCAAGGGGAUUAGUUGCAUAAACAUCACAGUGGGAGAGCUUCGGCUCUGGAACGCUCGGUCGUUCAAAGUGGUGGAGUACUAGUUACUCAAAGUGGUGUUAGUGGUGAGGACUUAUGUCCUGAUGAGAAUGCUUUAACCAUUCAACAGCGGUGUGGGUCACGGCCCUGAUUUUUGGUACCACAUGCAUGGGUGUUUAGAGGAGUCUUAGUGGAGUGGUGAUGGGUUGCAUAUGUUGUUGAGAGGGUUAUAAAUUAAUAUUGUUGAUGAUACGUGAAAAUGAUGAUAUUUAUAUAAUAUUGUUGAUGAAUUAUCUGAUAGGGUGUUAGAUUCAAUUGAUACAUUCUUUACCUAUAUUUUGUUGUGAAUCUCACCCCUUCUGCUUGAAAAUGUUGCCCUUCCUAUGGGUAACUUGCAGGUGAUCCUAAGUAGUUGGUGGUGGCUCAAAGUGUCUAGGACUCUGAUACGUGGGAUGGGAUUUAUAGUUUAAUUUCUACCUAUGUAUCAAUUUUUGGAACAAGUUAAUGUAGCCUUUGUUUAUUGUUGAACUAUUAUGUUGAGGCCUAGUGCCAAGAUUUAUUGUUGGAUAAUGGAGUUUAAUUUUGAAGAAUAUUCCGCUGCAAUUUAAUGAAGUUUUAUGAAAG